GGAGAGAGUUGUGCCUACUUAGUUCUCUCCUAAAAGGACUGCAGCCUGGAUUUGUCUCUCCAUUGCCCACUUCCAUGUUUCCUCCCCCAGUUAUUUUGGAGGCCCCGGGGACCGAGUGGGUGACCCAGCUGAGACCGGAGUUCUGGCAGGGCCAGGGUGGGUGUUAUUCUCCAAAUAAUUCACCACUUGAGCACUUGCUCCAGACACUGGGUUCCCCAGGGACCUCUUGCUCUGUGACACGCGUGACAGCAUGGCCUCUUUGUCUUCCCAGGGCAUCAUCGAGCAGAAAGGGACAGGCAGAGGAGGGGACAAGAGAGAAGCCAGGGGAUCCAGCAGCUGCUCUGUCCCAGAAGCUGGAAGCCCCAGAAGAGGAGAGAUGAGGACGCAUCACCAGUCUGAGACUGAGGCCUGAAGCUCUGUGGAGAGUUGCUGGUUGAGUCCACACUGAGAGGCUGAAGGAGCUGGAGUGUGACAUCCACGCACAAUGACAGUAUUUCCAGGGACCUUCAUAAUGGGCCAUGGUAAUAUGAGGCAAUGCCCUAAUGGACUCCAUUGUCGGGGAGCAGUUCAACUUCUUGGUGGUCUGGCUCACUCAUCCCUGCCAACACUGUGACUCCCCUUUUAGCAGGCUGGCUCAGAGGCAAAACCAGGGGAAGUCUUAACUUCCAUUUCAAAGGAAUUGUUGUGCCACCCACAAGAUGCAUUCUGCCCCCUGGAUGUAAGACUUCUAGGCCAGGAGAGCAUAAGUCUACGGGAAGAGGAAGUAAAAACUUUCCCAGUGGGU
rnacentral:lncRNA from 1 species